rnacentral:misc_RNA from 1 species
GAAUUGUUAAGCAAAUAAAAUAACAGGUGUCAACAUGUUAACAACAUUUUUAUUUAGAAUUUCAUAAAGAUGAUUGACUGUGUAUUUGAAAUAGAAAUACAUUUAUUUACAAAUAUUUUUUUUGAAUAGUAAUUUUAUUUUGAGUAAACCUAAGUCAAUCUUUUAUAAAACACAUUGAACUUCAAGAAAGAAAUUAUUUAAGGUAAAUGUCUAAAUGCUUGUUGGAGUAUAUUGCAGUGUUUUUCUUUUUUAUUUUGUUUCCAAAUUAUCUCAAUUAUCAUAGAUCUUACAUUCCAAUAUGAUUGGCUUGCUUUACUUAACAAGUUGUUGAAUUCAAUUCUUGUUCAAUUAUCAUUUCAUGAUACUAAAUCUACAUACAUACAUACAUACAUCUACAUACUGGUUUUUUUUCAUGAUGCAGUAUGGUACAUGUCUCACAUUUAGAAAUAAUGUCCCUUUGAUCCUAAUAAAUGUAUUUUUGUGACUGUUUGCAAGAGACCACAAAAUAUGCUGAGGAUGAAUACAAGUUAACUUUAUAUUU